rnacentral:lncRNA from 8 species
AUGAGAGCGUCAGCUGUGCUGGACAACUGUGUGAUCACACUCUCCGUAGCCAACGUGAGUAAGACCUUUAAACAGGUCAACAUUCACAAGGCCGCUGGGCCAGAUGGAAUACCAGGAUGGGUGCUCCGGGCAUGUGCUGACCAACUGGCAGGUGUCUUCACUGACAUUUUCAACAUGUUCCUAAUUGAGUCUGUAAUCCCAACAUGUUUCAAGCAGACCACCAUAGUCCCUGUGCCCAAGAACACUAAGGUAACCUGCCUAAAUGACUACAGACCCGUAGCACUCACGUCCAUAGCCAUGCAGUGCUUUGAAAGGCUGGUCAUGGCUCACACCAUUAUCCCAGAAACCCUAGAACCACUCCAAUUUGCAUACCGCUCAAACAGAUCCACAGAUGUUGCAAUCUCUAUUGCACUCAACACUGCCCUCACCAACAUGAGAAUGCUAUUCAUUGACUACAGCUCAACGUUCAACACCAUAGUGCCCUCAAAGCUCAUCACUAAACUAAGGAUCCUGGGACUAAACACUUCCCUCUGUAACGGGAUCCUGGACUUCCUGAUGGGCCGCCCCCGGGUGGUAAGGGUAGGUAACAACACAUCUGCCACGCUGAUCAUCAACACUGGAGCCCCUCGGGGGUGUAUGCUCAGUCCCCUCCUGUACUACCUGUUCACCCACGACUGCAUGGCCAGGCAUGACUCCAACACCAUCAUUACGUUUUCAGACGACACAACAGUGGUAGGCCUGAUCACUGACAAUGACGAGACAGCCUAUAGGGAGGAGGUCAGAGACCUGGCCGGGUGGUGCCAGAAUAACAACCUAUCCCUCAACGUAAUAAAGACAAAGGAGAUGAUUGCGGACUACAGGAAAAAGAGGACCGAGCACACCCCCAUUCUCAUUGAUGGGGCUGUAGUGGAGCAGGUUGAGAGCUUCAAGUUCCUUGGUGUCCACAUCACCAACAAACUAUUAUGGUCCAAACACACCAAGACAGUCGUGAAGAGGGCACGACAAAGCCUAUUCCCCCUCAGGAAAUGA